UACGAAGGGGGCUAGCGUUGCUCGGAAUCACUGGGCGUAAAGCGCACGUAGGCGGCUUUCUAAGUCAGGGGUGAAAUCCUGGAGCUCAACUCCAGAACUGCCUUUGAUACUGGAGAGCUUGAGUCCGGAAGAGGUGAGUGGAACUCCGAGUGUAGAGGUGAAAUUCGUAGAUAUUCGGAAGAACACCAGUGGCGAAGGCGGCUCGCUGGGACGGUACUGACGCUGAGGCGCGAAAGCGUGGGGAGCGAACAGG
rnacentral:rRNA from 1 species